rnacentral:lncRNA from 1 species
UAGAAUUCAAUUGUUUAGUAGAAACUCCUCUCUCGAUUAAGUUUCAAACUCACAAGAUGAACUAAUUUUAAGCACGUGAAGAUAUGCACGAAUCCGUAGUGGAUUGGUCUUUAGGAGAGCCUCUCUCGAUUAUCCUCCUAACUAAGUUUAAUCAACAAUUCAACUAGCCUCUUUCGAUUACGAAGAAGAAUCAAUUGAAUUCAACUAACAAGAUAGAAUGUAAAAAAAUCACAAGUUAUGCCUCUCUUGAUUACAUGAACUAGUGAAUAUAGAUGCAACGGUUAAAACAUCCAAAAUGAUUCAAUACAUAAAACUAGAGUUAAUUAUUCACAAACAAGUAUCAAUACACCAAAUUCAUAAAACACAAAGAGAACUACUCCAUGGAUAUGGAGUAAUUCAUCAAUAAAAUGUUUAAGUCAAAGAAACACAUAAAACAAUCCAAACUCUUGUCUUGAGUAAGGAUUGAAUGAUGAAAUCUUUGUGCUCUUGCUUCUCCAACUUCUCUUUAGCCUCCUUAGGUCUUAGAUGUGUCAAAAGUCAUCAAAAUACCGUUUUUCCAUGUAUAUAUACCAAGUAGGGUCGUGACCAAACACAUACACCUUCUCCUACGCGAAAAAUGACACUUUUCCCGGACAGGUUGUGCGCGACCGCGCACUUAGAAGUGUGUCCGCGCACUUUUCACACAGUUCUGCCACAUAUACGCGAUCAGUGCGCGGACGCGCACUUUUCACCCUGUUAUAUUGGGAAUUUGAAAAAACGUAAAACGUGAAAGUUGUAGCCCUUUAAAUUAGAUUUCCAACAAUAUAUCGUGGGUCCCAAAUGGAGUUUCAAGCGAAAGGUUAUGUGCAUAUUACUAGACACUUCGCAAUAUGACUGCUCGAUUCUUCGUUUCGUUCCAAUAUCAUCCGUUGAUCCCCGAACACGAUCCCAGCUUAAUUUCUUGAACUUUUACUCAGACUUCAAAGCUACAAAUCACUUGAAUUUAUUCCAUAACAUCUACAUAGCUCGCAAUCACUCCUACAAGGCAUAAACACACAAUUAGUUCAAAACACUAACGAUUAAAGCUUAAACUCAACUAAAGUGUAGUAAAUUGGAAUGUAAUAAUCGACUAAAACAUGAGAUUAUAGCCUACCAUCAUAUACACACUACACACUACAUAUGUGCAUAUUACUACACACUGCGCAAUAUGCAUGCUCGAUUCUUCGUUUCGUUCCAAUAUCAUCCGUUGAUCCCCGAACACGAUCCCGGCUUAAUUCCUUGGGCUUCUACCAUCAUAUACACACUACAUAGCUCGCAAUCACUCCUACAAGACAUAAAACACACAAUUAGUGCAAAACACUAGCGAUUAAAACUUAAACUCAACUAAAGUGCGAUAAAUUGGAAUGUAAUAAUCGACUAAAACAUGAGAUUAUAGCCUACCAUCAUAUACACACUACAUAGUUACUCAGACUUCAAAACUCCAAAUCACUUGAAUUAAUUCCAUAACAUCUACAUAGCUCNCAAUCACUNNNNN